rfam:Triticum aestivum genome assembly, contig: Triticum_aestivum_CS42_TGACv1_scaffold_487596_6AS
GAAGUACUCCCUCCGUCCCAAAAUUCUUGUCUUAGAUUUGUCUAGAUACGGGUGUAUCGUCAUACAUCCGUAUCUAGACAAAUUUAAGACACAUCCGUAUCUAGACAAAUCUAAGACAAGAAUUUUGGGACAGAGGUAAGAUUUG